UGAACGGAAAACUACAGGCUACUUUGAAUUCCAAGAAAUUGGACAUCCUCCCAUGCUUAGAAAAAAUCCACUCGCAGAUCUUCGACUGUAUGAGCAAGAUUCCCAAUCUGAAUCACAAAAACUAACAGUUGGAAGGUUUGGAAGCGAGGUUGAAGUUAGAAGGCAUGCUUGGGAAAUAUUAUCUCAAGACAAACUAUGUCCUCAUAUAUGUGUGGGCAUAUUUCUUAAUUCUUUUAGUUUGUAUAAGUUCUUAUUAGGUAUUUCUUUCAAAUGUAAAGGGCCGUGCCCUAUGAUUUUUAUGCCAUGUCUUUAAGUUGGCUUUUGACGAUGAGAUUCUCUUAGUAUUUAUGAAGGAAAUUCCUUUUUAUAUUAAA